UUUUGAGAGUUUGAUCCUGGCUCAGAACGAACGCUGGCGGCGCGCCUAAUACAUGCAAGUCGAGCGAGAAGACGUAGCAAUACGUUUGUAAAGCGGCGAACGGGUGAGGAAUACAUGGGUAACCUACCCUCGAGUGGGGAAUAACUAGCCGAAAGGUUAGCUAAUACCGCAUACGACUCCUGGUCUGCGGAUCGGGAGGGAAAGCGAUACCGUGGGUAUCGCGCUCUUGGAUGGGCUCAUGUCCUAUCAGCUUGUUGGUGAGGUAAUGGCUCACCAAGGCUUCGACGGGUAGCUGGUCUGAGAGGACGAUCAGCCACACUGGCACUGCGACACGGGCCAGACUCCUACGGGAGGCAGCAGUAAGGAAUAUUGCGCAAUGGGC
rnacentral:rRNA from 1 species